GGUGGCAUGGCCAAGUGGUAAGGCAGGGGCCUGCAAAGCCCCCAUCCCCAGUUCGAAUCUGGGUGCCACCU
rnacentral:tRNA from 1 species